CCAAUAGCGUAUAUUAAAGUUGUUGCAGUUAAAAAGCUCGUAGUUGAACUUCGGGGUUUACUCAUUGGUCAGGCUUAAUUGUCUGUACUGGUGAGAUGAAUCUCUACCUUCUGAGGAACUUUCAUGCCAUUUAUUUGGUGUGGUUGGAAAUCAGGACUGUUACUUUGAAAAAAUUAGAGUGUUUAAAGCAGACUAACGUCUGAAUACAUUAGCAUGGAAUAAUGAAAUAGGACGGAUUGAUUCUAUUUCGUUGGUUUCUAGGGUCACCGUAAUGAUUAAUAGGGAUAGUUGGGGGCAUUAGUAUUCAAUUGUCAGAGGUGAAAUUCUUGGAUUUAUUGAAGACUAACUACUGCGAAAGCACUUGCCAAGGAUGUUUUCAUUAAUCAAGAACGAAAGUUAGGGGAUCGAAGACGAUCAGAUACCGCCGUAGUCUUAACCAUAAACUAUGCCGACUAGGGAUCGGACGCAGUUAAUUUUAUAAUGACGUAUUCGGCACCUUACG
rnacentral:rRNA from 1 species